rnacentral:rRNA from 1 species
CGAACGGGUGGGUAACGCGUGAGGAACCUGCCUCAAAGAGGGGGACAACAGUUGGAAACGACUGCUAAUACCGCAUAAGCCCACGGCUCGGCAUCGAGCAGAGGGAAAAGGAGCAAUCCGCUUUGAGAUGGCCUCGCGUCCGAUUAGCUAGUUGGUGAGGUAACGGCCCACCAAGGCGACGAUCGGUAGCCGGACUGGGAGGUUGAACGGCCACAUUGGGACUGAGACACGGCCCAG